GAUGAACGCUGGCGGCGUGCCUAAUACAUGCAAGUCGAGCGAACGGACGAGAAGCUUGCUUCUCUGAUGUUAGCGGCGGACGGGUGAGUAACACGUGGAUAACCUACCUAUAAGACUGGGAUAACUUCGGGAAACCGGAGCUAAUACCGGAUGAUAUUUUGAACCGCAUGGUUCAAAAGUGAAAGACGGUCUUGCUGUCACUUAUAGAUGGAUCCGCGCUGCAUUAGCUAGUUGGUAAGGUAACGGCUUACCAAGGCAACGAUGCAUAGCCGACCUGAGAGGGUGAUCGGCCACACUGGAACUGAGACACGGUCCAGACUCCUACGGGAGGCAGCAGUAGGGAAUCUUCCGCAAUGGGCGAAAGCCUGACGGAGCAACGCCGCGUGAGUGAUGAAGGUCUUCGGAUCGUAAAACUCUGUUAUUAGGGAAGAACAUAUGUGUAAGUAACUGUGAACAUCUUGACGGUACCUAAUCAGAAAGCCACGGCUAACCACGUG
rnacentral:rRNA from 1 species